AGUGAACGCUGGCGGCGUGCCUAAUACAUGCAAGUCGACCGGAGUGGCGCACGGGUGAGUAAUAUAUAGCUAAUAUGCCCCUUGCUAGAGGACAACAGUUAGAAAUGACUGCUAAUACUCCAUAGCAAGGGAUGAGACUAUAUCGUAUUAGCUAGUCGGUGGGGUAACGGACAACCGAGGCUAUGACGCGUAACUGGUCUGUGAGGAUGAUCAGUGAGAUUGGAGCUGAGACACGGUCAAGACGCGUACGGGGGGCGGCGGUAGGGAAUUGAGCGAGAUGGGGGAGGCCCUGUCGCAGCAACGGCGCGUGGAGGGUGUGAUGUUUCGGAGCGUAAACUCGUUUGGGUUGGGAGGCGGUACCUAACGAAUAAGCACCGGCUAACUCCGUGCCAGCAGCCGCGGUAAUAC
rnacentral:rRNA from 1 species